rnacentral:tRNA from 1 species
GGGGCGGUAGCUCAAUUGGAAGAGCGUCGCGUUCGCAAUGCGAAGGUCGGGAGUUCGAUCCUCCUCCGCUCCACCA